rnacentral:rRNA from 1 species
AUUGAACGCUGGCGGCAGGCCUAACACAUGCAAGUCGAGCGGAGCGGCGGACGGGUGAGUAAUGCCUAGGAAUCUGCCUCGUCGUGGGGGAUAACGUUAGGAACCGGGCGCUAAUCCCGCAUCCUCUCACCUUCGGCUGGGUCGGAUUAGCUAGUGGGUGGGGUAAAGGCAUACCAAGGCGACGAUCCGUAGCUGGGCUGAGAGGAUGAUCAGUCACACUGGAACUGAGACACGGUCCAGACGCCUACGGGGGGCAGCAGUGGGGAAUAUUGGACAAUGGGCGAAAGCCUGAUCCAGCCAUGCCGCGUGUGUGAAGAAGGUCUUCGGAUUGUAAAGCACUUUAAGCGGGGAGGCGUUACCAGCAGAAUAAGCACCGGCUAACUCCGUGCCAGCAGCCGCGGUAAUUC